AAAGUCGUAACAAGGUAACCGUAGGUGAACCUGCGGUUGGAUCAUUAACAAAAUCCAAAACACAAACCCUUUGUGAACUUUUAAUUUUGUACCUUUGGUUAUUUUUUUUCUUUCUUCGAAAGAAGGGGGAAGGAAGUAGCCAGACAAUUUAUUAAGACUCUGUUUUUUAUUAGUGUUUUUAAAUUUUUUAUAUUACUUAAAAAAAUAACAACUUUUGACAACGGAUCUCUUGGCUCUC
rnacentral:misc_RNA from 1 species